GACGAACGCUGGCGGCGUGCUUAACACAUGCAAGUCGAACGGAAAGGCCCUGCUUUUGUGGGGUGCUCGAGUGGCGAACGGGUGAGUAACACGUGAGUAACCUGCCCUUGACUUUGGGAUAACUUCAGGAAACUGGGGCUAAUACCGGAUAGGAGCUCCUGCUGCAUGGUGGGGGUUGGAAAGUUUCGGCGGUUGUGGAUGGACUCGCGGCUUAUCAGCUUGUUGGUGGGGUAGUGGCUUACCAAGGCUUUGACGGGGAGCCGGACUGAGAGGGUGACCGGCCACAUUGGGACUGCGAACCCGCCCAGACUCCUACGGGAGGCAUCAGUGGAAAAUAUUGCACAAUGGGCGGAAGCCUGAUGCAAGAACGCCGCGUGCGGGAUGACGGCCUUCGGGUUGUAAACCGCUUUCGCCUGUGACGAAGCGUGAGUGACGGUAAUGGGUAAAGAAGCACCGGCUAACUACGUG
rnacentral:rRNA from 1 species